UGCUUAAAAUUUCUUAGUAUUUUAUUCAAACAAAAAAUAUUUUCUUCGAUUUUUUUAAGGAAAGUUUAAUAAUUAUAAUCGCAAAAAAUCCUUCAUCCAUGCCUUUACGAAUUCUAUCUCACAGACCUGUGUAAAAUUUCAUGAAGGUCGAUUGAGUAAUUCUCUAGAUAUCUUUCCAACCGAUUUCAUAAACACAGUUUCGAGAAAAACGCGUUUAAAGACAGCAUCCUGAAGAAAUGCGAAAGUGACUGCCCAGGGAAGAGUUUUCAGUGACCCGUAACUGGCAAAUACCAUUGCUGUAAGGCAAAUAUAAGAAUAAAAAUAUACGCUGAAACAGAAAUACAUUUUUUAAUAAUAAUUUUUAUUAAUUUACAAACUAAAAUAACUAAUUUCUCUCACCAAAUACUCUAACACCACAUCCCACAAAAAGUGUACCACUGUACGUUGAUUACUAUGCUGAGGAAGCGAGCGCAAUUUUCGCGUCUCUUUGCCACCACACAAUCGCCGCCACACUCACGGCCAACGCCACUAUCAUUGCCUCUAUCGCUGCUGCCACGCCGUACUCACACUCUCCGACGAGCGCAGCCAUGAACAAGCGCCGCAACAACAAGCCAGAGCCAACUAACUGCACAUACACACACGCAGCAUAAUGGAAUGGGUGGAGGGGCAGACUGGCUGAUAACUAUAUGUAUAUGUAUUCGUAUAUAUAUAUAUAUAUAUAUGUGUGUAUAUGUGUGCAUAGCGAACGCAGCGCAGCGCGGCACCACAUAGCAAACGCCAAGAUACAAUACAGACACGUCGACUACAAACAAACUUAUAAAUUGUACAUGUGCUUAUGUAUGUUUGAGUGUAUGUAUGUAUGUAUGAGUGAACGUAGGUAUAUGUAUGUAUGCAUGUAUAUAUGGCUGUGCAUACGUUGAACAGCAUACAACUUUAGCGUUCGUUCGUGUACACUUGGCUUCGCUUGGCGCUGACACAGCGGUGACGGCACGUUCAGAUUCAUUCUGCGAUUCCUCGAGGACGUAACGAAAAACGUCGGUGUGCGCGUCAUACUAUACCGCCGAACAGAACAGACAAGGCAUAACAGACAACUAAUAACUAACCAAGUGUAGAACCAAAAAAAAAAAGUCAGCAAGUAAGCAUUGAUUGCAAGCAACAAAUCAAGCUCGACGCAGCACGACCUUUUAAAUAAUAGCGCAAACAAUAACAACAACUAACAGACAGUGAUUUACUUUGCAUUUCGGGCAGAUUAAGAAUACGAGGUAACAGCAGCAGAAGUAGAAGCAGUGUAAUUGGAUUAAAAAUAUAAGCAAAAAAUCAGUUUUGAAGUAGCCAAAAAGCUACAAAGUGAAGUUGAAAAGUAAUCAAAAAAAUUAAAAAAAAAAAUUAAAAUUAAAAAAAGUUAAAUACAAAAUAAAUUUUCGAAAUUAAGCAUUUCUAAAAACUAGAAAGAUUUUGAAAAAAUUUAAAUUUCGAAAAAUUCAGAAAUUCAAAAAAUUGAAAAAUAAUAAUAAUACUUGCAAGCGCCUAGUCUUCAGCAUUUACUGUUUGCCGGCUUCCAGACAAUAACAGAAUAACACAAGUAACGUACAAGCAAGCGCCUGGCGUAGCUGCAACAACAAAUCAAAUAAAUUGUGUGUGUGCGAGCGAUUUUUGAGUGAUUUCACGGCAAAACUGCUUAUUAGCAACAAAAUAUCAAAUCUGCUUUCUAAUAUAGCUUACGAGCGGAAGUCGUACUCACGUGUGCCAGCAAGCUUAGGCAGCCUAUAUGUGUGUGCAUGUGCGUGUGCAUUUGCCAGUGUAUAUAUUUAGGCGAAUUCGCGUGCUAAUGCAGUGAAACCGAGAGCAAAAACAAAAAAAGCAUACUAGAAAUAAACACGAAAAAAAUGCAAAAACUGUGAAAUACGAAAGAAGCACGAUUUCCGCUUAACAACCGAGAGUUAUGCCACACGCAACGGCAUAAACAAAUGCUGCAAAGGAAUAAGAGCAAAAAAAGCAGCAGAAAGCUACAAACAACUUUUCCAACAAAAAAACGAAAAUGUAUAAUACAUUGUAAAAUAAUUUACAAAAAACAGUGGUCAAAUAAAACAAAAUUUGUAUAAACAAACAUUUAAAAAAAAGUUAUACACAAUUAACAACAACAAAAAUAGUCAAGCGGCGCACGUGGAACUAAAAAUUUCAAAUUUCAUUGACGAAAUGCGUUAAAUACAAAAACAAAUAAAACUUAAUUUUUAACAAAACACGCAAACAGCACAGCGCUACUAAGCGCAAUUGAAGGAAAUAAAUAAAUUCGCUGAUUGCGCACGAAAUUAACUAGAAAUCACGUGUGUGAGAUUAAAUUCUUUGCGGCAAAAAUAAAUACGAAAAAAAGCAAGCCAACAAAAAAAUAAUUUAAGUCAUAAAACCAUACCUAAAUCUAGUAAUUGUGCUAAAACUAUAAAUAGCUUGAAUUUAGCUGACUAACUGCGGCCUAAAGUUGGUCAAGGAUAUCGCCAUAGCGCAGCGCAAGCGUGCACAAGAGCGGCAAUAAAAGGCAGCGAUUUCAGUUUUUACUGCUAAUAAAAAAAGUAAGUCUGCUUUUCGCGCAAAUUCAGUAGCAAAUUCGUAAUUUUUUCAGUGGAAAAUAUUUAUGUUAAAAAAGCCCAUUACAUGUGGGUUGAACACGUUUUUUAAUUGCAGUUUUUGUAAUAUUUAAUAAUAGUUUAGUAAAAUUUAUGGUUGCGAAUGAAAUUUUGUGAGCCGUAUGAGGGCCAAAAUUUGUAAUUAAUAUAAACAAUUUUGGUUAUUUGACAAAUAUAUAUGAUAAUUUCACUAAAAACCUAUUUUCAAUAAUAUAUUUGGAGAAAAACAGUCGUAUAAUUAUGUUCAGGUAUCUCGAUUACCAUAUGAAAAAAAUUUAAGCGUAGGCCCAAAACUUCCUAUUGAAGAACACUGCUUUAGUUACCACACUGAACUUUUAAACUGCAUUCUUGAAUAUCUCAUAAAAUCGCACUUAACUCUUUCGACUUCUAUAUCGUUCCCCCCAAAGGUAAUACUUGGAUUCUUGCUCCAAUAAACUUGUGCCCAACGUUUUUUCCAAUCCUCGAAACAGUUGUUAAAAUUACUUUCCGGAAUAGAUUUCAAUGGGCGUAGCGAUACACCUUUAAUGACUUCAAAUGACCCAAAACAGUUUCCGGGACGGUCGUUUAAGUUUGCUGAACUUCUGGGGCUAGUCACACGAAACUAAAUCAGGCGAAUAGGGCGGUUGCAGCACGAUAGUGGCUGAAAAGCUCACGAAGAAUCAAUGCAGUAUGCGACGCUGCAUUAUUGUGGUGCAAAAACCACUGGGUUUCGGCUCAAAACUGCGGCCUCUUUUUACGAAUAGCUUCGCGUCAGCGACGCAUAAAACUCAAAUAGUAUUCCUUGUUGAUAGUUUGGCCGGUCGGAAGGAAUGCGGACCGCGCUACACCUCGACAAUCGAAGAAAACUGUCAACAUAACAUUGGUUUUUGACAUGAUAUUACAUGGCUUCUUGGCUGCGGCUCAGCUUUGCCACGAUAUUCGGCUGAUUGAUCGUCUGUAACGGUUGCAAGCAUAGAAGCAAGACUCAGCGAUCGUAGUAACACGUUUCAUAAUAUACUGAUAGUCGCUAAGCAUUGUUUCGCGGACGUUAACGCGACAGUGUUUUUCGAAAAAAAUUUGUAAUUUUAGAACAAAUCACAUUUUUCAAGCCCAAAUGAUUUUUCAAAAUGGUUUUCACUGAUCCUUUCGCUACUUUAACGAUGCCACUAAGACCUCUGAUCGUCGAUUUUCGAUCAUCGUAAAAAUCGACGAAUACGUUUUAUGAACUUCAGAAAGUCAAGCGGAUACUAAACACUGUGACUUUUGGCACAGAUGUCACUGAUAGUCAUACCAACAUAGAAAAAAAUAUCUCAACGAAUGCGUUUUUGCGCGAAAUUUAAAUGUAAAAGUCUUACUAUUUUUUGCCCACAGUAUAGUAUCUAUCUAAAUUGACAAAAUUUUUUUCUAAAAUCCAUUUACCAAGAUUUUUAGCCUCCCACACGUAAAUUAAAUAUGCAAAUUCUGACACUUUAUGGCUAAACUCUAUAAACGCACCCAGCAUCAUAAAAAAUAUUGCGCAAUAAAAACAUAAAAAUGCAAUAAAAAUUAAAAAAAAAAUAAACAAAAUUAACAAAAUAAUAAAAUGUUAAAAUUUUAAGCACAAAAUAUUCAAAUAAACUUCUAAAGGUACAUCAAUAAAAAUAAAAAUAAAAAUAAAAAUACUUUUAUGAUACAUAUAAAAUGCAGCAGCGCCUUAUUUUUUUAUAACUGUGUAUAGAAGUUGAAGUAGCCUUACGGUUAAUUAAAUAUUUUGAUGGAAAUUUGUUUGCUAUGUAAUUAUUUUAUUAGCAUUUUAUAAUUACAAAUAAAAACGGGAAAAUUUCAGUAAAUCCAAGCUGGAAUAAUUUGAAUGUAUUACUUAUGAAUCUACUCAGCCACAAUAAUUAAAAAAUUAGCAUUUUCCUUUAAGUGUAACGUAUGUAUAUAUCCUAGACUUAUAUAUUCGAAAUUGAAGUUGAGUUAGUCGAAUCAAAUAUAAUUUUUAAUUUGAAUUUCAUAUCAUUUUCACUGAAAAUUAUAUUCAUUCUGUAAUUAUGCCAUUUAUACAACAUCAAAACAACUUAAUUAGCUGAGCCAAUUAACUUACAAAUUGAGUCAUUAAGUGCGGUGUUCCCAAACAAACAAUUAAGCUAUUACAUACACUAGACGAUUAGGAAAAAUAUACAAAAUUUUAAUUACUAAUUGUCAAUUAGUUAAUUGCGAUAGUUUUUGUUGCAAUUAAGGCUUGGAAUAUUCAAAUUAA